UCUGAUGAUGAUGUCCACAUUGAUUCUAUUCGUGUUGGUGGCAAGCGCCAUGACCGUCUCCGUUAAUGCACAGUGUACCUGUCAACAACGAACCAAUGAGAUGACGAUGUUCUACAAUCAGAUGAUAGAUACAGUUCUGUCCACCAUGCGAAACAUGAAUAUGAAUUCACCAUCUAAUCUGGACUACAACCAGUACAACCAAUUCAAUUCGCCAGGGCUACAGACUCCCCCUCCUCCUCCUCCUGCUCCACCUGCUCCACUGGGCGUUUGAUCCUCGAUUUAAAUUGUUUAAUGGAAUGAAUAAUGUAGUUCCAGAAGCACAUAUUAACAAAAAUCAACAAGCUGUAAAAUGUGUCCGUGUGGACUUAAACUAAAAAUAAAGAAAUACGACUUUA